AGUGAACGCUGGCGGUAGGCCUAACACAUGCAAGUCGAACGGCAGCACAGUAAGAGCUUGCUCUUACGGGUGGCGAGUGGCGGACGGGUGAGGAAUACAUCGGAAUCUACUUUUUCGUGGGGGAUAACGUAGGGAAACUUACGCUAAUACCGCAUACGACCUACGGGUGAAAGCAGGGGAUCUUCGGACCUUGCGCGAUUGAAUGAGCCGAUGUCGGAUUAGCUAGUUGGCGGGGUAAAGGCCCACCAAGGCGACGAUCCGUAGCUGGUCUGAGAGGAUGAUCAGCCACACUGGAACUGAGACACGGUCCAGACUCCUACGGGAGGCAGCAGUGAGGAAUAUUGGACAAUGGGCGCAAGCCUGAUCCAGCCAUACCGCGUGGGUGAAGAAGGCCUUCGGGUUGUAAAGCCCUUUUGUUGGGAAAGAAAAGCAGCAGGUUAAUACCCAGCUGUUCUGACGGUACCCAAAGAAUAAGCACCGGCUAACUUCGUG
rnacentral:rRNA from 1 species